AACCGCGUAAAUAAAUCAAAUGAAGUAGUUGUGUGAAAACACAAAUGUUAAUUGAAUGCGUCUGUUCAUAUCGCUGAGAUUUUUAGUGGUCAUCGAUUCCUUCUGUAUUUGAAUUAACUCAGAGCUCCGUUGUUGCUGUUUUUUUUCUUUUGUUUUGACCAACGAACCACACUCAACGAUUAGUUAAGUGUUUUUUGUAAAAAUUUCAGUUUAGCGUUUGUUAGUUUUUUCACAUUAGUUUCGGUUUCCGUUCCAAAGUUCAGCUAUUAUACAUGACGAGUUUACUGUGGCCGUCGUUCCGUACAGGUCACCUAACGACCUCUCCUCUUUUCCUAAAUUGAGUUUGACUCAGCAACCCGUGUCUAUCCGUUAGACGAUAAUACAACACGGUUUUUUUUAUUUUGUUUUAUUCGGCAACAUGACAAGAAGAGUUGAAACCAGCGAUGAAACGGCUUUGGUUAGCUUGAAAGCUAACGCUGCGACUCAACUGAAGAAGAAAACAACAAUUAAAGUGAUUUAUCUAAUCGCUGCUUUGGACAUAACAUGGAUGUUUCUACAGUUCUCCAUAACGCCGUAUUUGGCAAAGAAACUGGGUUUUGACACUUUGUGGUUUGGUUAUUUACAAAGCAUGGUUGGUCUCAUCCAGCUGUUUGGGGGUCCUUUGUUUGGAAGGUUCGCAGAUGUUAUCGGGGCCCGAGCGGCACUGUCAUUGGCGUGCACUGCAAAUAUUGUUUUCUUCAUUCUGCUGGCUGUAGCAGACUCUCCUGUCAUGCUUUUUGUCCACAAACUCCCCACAGUUGUAAUGCAUGUUCUACCAGCUUCUCAGAUGGUAGUAGCAGACCUUUCAGAACCUGAAAAACGGGCCGAUGCGCUAUCCAAACUAGGUCUUUGUUUUGGCUUUGGAAUGAUAGCUGGCUCCACUUUAGGUGGCCAUCUCGUCACAAGCUAUGGGGAGAGAUUUGCUGCAUACAGUGGCGCUGCAGGGAGCACAUUAAGUUUGCUGUUGGUAUUAAGCUUUAUCCCUCAAACCACUAAAGUUCAAUCUCCAACAGCCAAAACAGAGUCUGAUACCAAAAGCAAGUCCAUCUUCAGUGUGGGCCAGAUCACAAGACUUAUGAAGUGUGCAGGCGUGACACCAACGUUCCUAAUAAAGAUUGUUGCAGGUUUACCAUCAAGCAUUUUCCAAGUGAUGUUCUCUAUAAUUGCAUUGGAAUUUUUGAAGUUGACACCUGAGCAAAAUGGAUAUAUCAUGGCAUAUUUUGGAAUAGCCCAGCUGGUGGUUCAGGGAGGUGUGAUUGGGCGACUUACAGCAAAAUACACUGAGAGUUCACUGCUACUUCUGUCUAUCGGAAUUUCUGCUUUUGUGGGGCUCGCUCAGGCGUACAUGCAGAAUGUGUUCCAGUUCUGCCUCACUGUGGUCCCCAUGAUGUUUUCUCUCAGUAUGUUUAAUGUCAUCACAGACAGUUUGCUCACUAAGAGCGUACCUUCCUCUGACACAGAAUGCUGUAAUGCCCUGCUCUCUGGUCUUCCCAAAAAGAACAUUUCCACUCUAAAACUACUUCAGAACUCAGCUGCUCGUGUGCUGACGAAAACCAGAGCCACCCCUGAGGUUGCCACCCGUGCAUCAGGGGAUGCUACUGAAUCUGUCUACAAAGCCAUUGGACCCGCCACCUUGGUCACCCAAUCCAGGUCAAGGGUCACCGACCUCCUCAUCAUCACAGCGCUCAUGGCGACAACAUCUGCUGUGGCUGCGGGCUGAUGAGCGUGAGAGAGAAGCGAAGACAAAAGACAAAGCACUAAUUGUAAAGCCCAGGGGUCCACCCAAGAGCAGCUCGGUGGAUGGGACACGUCCCACACCGAGGGACGCAGGGUGGUCCGCCAGCCCCACCGAGGCGCCCCAACAACUGGCCACCCGGAGGAGGCCGCAAGGAAACCCAAUGCCACCACCUCCACCAAUAUUUAUUAGUGUUCCUGACCCACAUCAUUCCUGCCAGCCCCCUGUUCUGUCCACUGCCUGCCACCUGUCAACACAUCCAGGACCACUUCCAUAACCUUUGCUCAAUAAACUGUUCAUCAUUUUACAUCAGCCUCCGCCUGCUCUUGGGUUCAGCUACUUCCCACACCUAACAAACAGAUCAAAAGAAACACUUAUCUAGAAGAGCCAGGGCGUGACGUUGGCAUCACGCAACAGUUGGCCAUCAACAUAAAGACAACUAGCCACGCUCGUUUGCCAUUCUCACGGUGAUUCUUCAUCAACGGGUACAAGAUUUUACGCCUCUCAUUGAUUUCCUUGGGGAACUGAUCGUUCAUUCCAAACGAAGUCCCUCUGAGCUCACGACCUUUUGAUUUCACAAACACUUUUUAUUGAAAGUGUUCAAACUUUGCAAUGAUACGACAUGGUCGGUUUCCUGGACGAGGGCCUCCCAAUCGGUGGACACGGUGAAAGGUAAUCUUGUCGACUGUAUCUUGCUGUAUAUUGAGCGCAGACAUCAUUCACUUUUUAAUCUGCGCCUCGGGGUCUUCCGAUGCGUUUUCUGGAAUGCCCGAGAAAAUGAGAUUGACGCGCAUGCUUCGUGAUUGAAUGUCCUGCGUAGUUUCUAUUCCAGUCUAAGAGUUUGUAGUUCCGCUGACGUUGACAUCAUGUUUGAUCGAAGCGCGGUAUGGUCUAAUCUUAGCUCCUUGACCUGUUGUUGUGUGAACUCCAAGCUCUUUCUGACUUCGGCGAUCUCUUGGGAAAGCAAGUCAAGUGUAAUUGACAAUUUCUUGUCGAUUGAGAGGAGGACUCAUCUGUGUCUGUCGAAUCAAGUAAAAUCUCAGUUGAAGUGGAAGAAUCAGCUUUUUUUUCCUCUUCAGCGGCAGCUCAACAAGAGGGCUCAGAUCAUCCAUGACAGACGUGUUGGCAUUGACGUAGCAGUGUGCAUCGCAAGUGGCUCUCUGCGAGUUACCGCUGCUAGCGAAGCUGGCGUAGGAAAAGCAAAAAGAACAAAGCGUUCUUGUGUUGUUGGAGGCCUCGAAUAAACAUUAGGUGAUCAGC